ensembl:lncRNA
CCGGACCCUUGGCGUCACUUCCAAGCUACGAAGCUCCAACGCAACAAACUGAUUUACAACCCACUGACAAAUAGUAAUUUAAACAUAACUCUUGUGCUUUUAUAUCUGAAUAUAGACCAGGAUUUAGUGGCCAAACAAGUGCAUAUUUGGUGUAACUCGUUCGUCGUGCGUGAAGUUAAAUGCACAUUUGGGAUUUUAACCUCGCGUGGGCCGCGGGGGCGGACUGUUUGACCCACAGACUACGGCACUUUUUUGGAGAUGUCGACACUCGAGCUCCGGGCCGUUUGUCGUUCUUUGGCAGGUGACGCCGGCUGUCUCGUCUCCCAGCGCCGUUUAUCGUACCGGGAAACAUGUGGGAGUCAUUCUUCGUUCAUCCCUCCUUUAGACGCGCAAACAGCUGCUGCAGCUGUAAAUCCUCCCAUCAGGACCAGUGACGUGACUCCUUCAGCCGGACACACAGACUGCUGUCUCCCCCCCGCCCCCCCGUGGUUAUUAUUUCAGGCUGAUCACUUGAGCUUUGCGAUCAGUGACCCUCUGAGCUCACAGCCGACUCGUCCUCCUCGUCGCUCCGUCCUCUCGUGUCUCUCGGGCUUCACACCCUCCACCAUGCGGUCUCUGCUGGAGAGCAGCUGGAUGAAGUUUGGGCCGGCGGGCCGGGACUCUCUGGACUGGUCCCCUGGUCCCUCGGCGCUGCCCUUCCCCAGCGGACAGGCUGCGGGCCAGAGCUCAGGUGAGGCCAUCAUCAGCGCGGGAUCCAUCACCGCCAUCACCGUAGCAACCGUCUCCCUCCUCCUCCUCCUCCUCUUCAGCGGCCUCGGCCUCCUGAUGUGGCGCCGCAGGCGCGGCUUCAGCUUCAACAGCAAACUGGGGUUGGCCAACGUGAUCGCCCUGGAGGACCUGCAGGACCCGGAGAGGAACUGCGAGCUGCUGUCCUCCAUCCGACGCAGCCAGAGGCACCGGGCGCCCAGCGCCAGCUCCGAGCAGCAGGACCCCUCGGACGGCGUCUUCCUCAUGGUCUACCUGCCCUCGCCGUACGAACACACGCUCACCAGGAUCGCCAGAGCCGCCAGCACGAGCAGCUCCCACGAGCUGCUUCCGCCGAGUCCCGGGCCGGAGACGGGCGGCCGGGACGAAGAAGACGGGACGAAGCUGAGCGACGAGGCGACCCGAGAGGAAGAAAUCAAGGCCGACUGAAAUCAAGGCGGGAGUACGACAACACAUCAGGAAAACAUCAUCGAACCUUCCUACCCACCGAGAGGCGUCGAGGAGAGACGACCGGGAUCGAGACCCCAGCACCUGUCUUCAAGCAGCCCUUUGGAUGAUGCAGUGAGUCUCCUUCCAAACAGACGAGUUGAUGCUGGCUGAACGCCCGUGACUCUGAUACAAAAUGACUGGUUUCAUUUUCCCAGGCGGCCUUGAUGGUCUUUCACAGGAAUCAAACCGACUGAUAUUUCAGAUGACAGUCCUCUGAGACCCCGUCUGUGCUCUGCUGCCCUUGUAACAAGUACACUAUAGAAAUGCCUGAAGUGUAGAAUGGACUGAGUGCUUUAAAAUAACUUUACUCAUCACACUUUCGCUUGUGCUGUUUGCACCUAGGAUUGUAUAAAUGUACAUGUGGAUUGAAAUCAUUCUAUUUUCUACUCUAAUACUCAAUGUGUAUUUCACUGUAGCAUCCUUAUAGAGAUGUAUUUUGUAAUGUUGAUAUUUGCUGUUUGAUAUUCACGGUCUCGUUGUCUCAUUGUUUGACCUCUUGAUACAAUGAUUCACAAUAAAGUGAAGGAGAAAGUGGAGCAGUUCUCUCCCUCCCUGUCAGCCAUCCUGCAGUGUUUUUGGAGUAUUUCACUUCAAACAAAAAGAACGAAAUCAUUGUUUAAACACUUUCCGUCCCCGCUUUGCCCAACAAGACACCUCCUGCAGGCCUGACGCAUCAGUUUCCUCUCCGGGUGGCGAAGGCGGAACGUUUACACUCGCAGGAGAGAAAGAAAGGCCAAGCAAAGCAAAUCGUACGCAAAUCAUCACCACUGGACCUCAAAC